GAUGAACGCUAGCUACAGGCUUAACACAUGCAAGUCGAGGGGCAGCAUGGAAGAAGCUUGCUUCUUCUGAUGGCGACCGGCGCACGGGUGCGUAACGCGUAUCAAACCUGCCUCAUACUCGGGGAUAGCCUUGCGAAAGUAAGGUUAAUACCCGAUGUUGUUAUGUUACCGCAUGGUGAUAUAACCAAAGAUUUAUCGGUAUGAGAUGGUGAUGCGUCCAAUUAGGUAGUAGGCGGGGUAACGGCCCACCUAGCCUUCGAUCGGUAGGGGUUCUGAGAGGAAGGUCCCCCACACUGGAACUGAGACACGGUCCAGACUCCUACGGGAGGCAGCAGUGAGGAAUAUUGGUCAAUGGACGAAAGUCUGAACCAGCCAAGUAGCGUGCAGGAUGACGGCCCUCCGGGUUGUAAACUGCUUUUAGUUGGGAAUAAAAAAGAGGACGUGUCCUCUAUUGUAUGUACCUUCAGAAAAAGGACCGGCUAAUUCCGUGCCAGCAGCCGCGGUAAUACGGAAGGUCCAGGCGUUAUCCGGAUUUAUUGGGUUUAAAGGGUGCGUAGGCCGUUUGAUAAGCGUGCUGUGAAAUAUAGUGGCUCAACCUCUAUCGUGCAGCGCGAACUGUUGAACUUGAGUGCGUAGUAGGUAGGCGGAAUUCGUGGUGUAGCGGUGAAAUGCUUAGAUAUCACGAAGAACUCCGAUUGCGAAGGCAGCUUACCGUAACGUUACUNACGCUUAAGCACGAAGGUGCGGGUAUCGAANNGG
rnacentral:rRNA from 1 species